UUUUGAUCUAUUCUAGAGGAAAUAAACGCUGUUCAAGGAAAUGAAAAAUCUACAGGGAAUGUUUCUUCUGCAACUCUACCUCCACUACCUGGUCAGCAAACUUUCAUUACAGCAGAUCAAUAUUUUCUUCCUUUUGAGUUGGCUUGUCAAACAAAAUGUGCCAGGAUUGUCACCAUUGCACUUGACUGUAUACAAAAACUCAUUGCUUAUGGUCAAAUUGUUGGCGAUACACCAGACUCCAUUGAACCAGAGAGGCUUUUAAAUGACAGAAUUAUCAAGACUAUUUGUACUUGCUUUACAGGUAUAAAUACUGAUGUAAACGUUCAAAUACAAAUUAUAAAAGUAUUUAUAAAAAGUAAUGUCAAACUGUUAAAGUAUUUAAUGAGAGAAAUGAUAUAUCCUUGAGGAAUUUAAAGACGGCUCUUCUAACAGCUGUUAC